UGUAAAUACUUAUGUGUGAGUCUGAGUUACGGAUGACGUAGCUUCCGGAGAACACUGGAAUUCCGUUUAGCGGAAUGGCCGGCUAGUUGUGAAAUCAGCUGCACACAAACUCUCCAAGCAUUGUUGUAGGUCGUGCUAGGAUUUAUCUCUCGGUUUAGUCUGUCUGUCUGUCUGUCUGUCUGUCUGUCUGUCCGUCUGUCUAUCUAUCUAUGUCUCUCUUUCUCUCUCUUUCUGUUCUCUCAGAGUGCCAACUUCCCCUCUUACCACCCGUCGCCAUCCUCUUUUGGCCUAGAGAGAAGACCGAGAGCACAGCGCAGAAGUGUGGAAUGUGGGAUGCGAGAGGGGUGACAGAGAGGAAAGGGGAAUAUUAAAGCUGUUUGAUUUGCUGGCUCCGAGUCAAGAUGACGAUGACGAUUAUGAUUAUGAUGAUGAUAGUGAUGACGGCGAUGACGACAACGACGACGACGACAACGACAACGACGACGAUGAUGGCGACGAAAGUGUCAAUGUCAAAGUAUUUUACCAGAUGGAAACCCCAGAAGUUCUGAGGUGAUAUUAACGAUCAAUGUAUAUACGUAUAUAUGUGUAUAUAUAUAUAUAUAUAUAUAUAUAUAUAUAUAUAUAUCUCAAGAUAUUUCAGACUACUUGUUUACAAAUGUUAAAACUACAAGGACCAAUGUGUAAUACUACAAAUCUUAAUACUAGCAGCCUAAAAUAUCUAAAGAAUAAGAACAAUUGAUUUCUAAAAUCAGAUAAUAACUUAUGGCCCACCUUAUAUUAGAACAAGUGUAUCUUAAAAGAGUAUUUCUUACGUAUCGUAAUCUCACGUUGAAUGUUCCGUGAAAGUAAUCAAUUUAUAUCACUGAUCAAGUAUUUGCUUCCUUUCUUCAGGUAUAUACAUAUUAUAUAUACACAGGUGUAUGUACACAUAGUGACUGAGAGAGGGAUAGAGAGAGAAAGAAAGAGAGAGAGAGAUAGAUAGAUAGAUAGAUAGAUAGAUAGAUAGAUAGAUAGAUAGAGAUAGAGAGAGAAAAAAAGAAGAGAUGAUUGAAGAAAAGAUAAAGCAGAGUUAAAAGUUGCCAAUAUACGAUUUAACCCGGCAAAAGAAAUAUGUGUGUGUGCCAUAAAGAUUUGAGAAUAUCCACGUAGUUUCCCCGGUACGAAAAUAUACAUAAGCAGAUAUAUAUACAUGUGAAUGUGUGUGUAUGUAUAUAUAUAUAUAUAUACAUAUGUAUAUAUUGUAUGUCUGGCUAAAGCUUCAGAUUGUCAGCUCUGCCAAGUCUCGAAUAGUUGCCUCACAUACUUCUGUAAUUUGUACGUUUUUCUAUGUAAAUAUAUAAUAUCUCAUUAAAUUUUUAA